rfam:Alkaliphilus oremlandii OhILAs, complete genome.
UAGCUGGUAUCAAUUUUUGAGCUAGACUAAUUUUCAUUGUUUUAAAAAAAAUUAAAUUGUCCGGCAUCUUUCAAAAGAGCUGGAACGGAGG